AGGCUGCAACUCGCCUACAUGAAGUUGGAAUCGCUAGUAAUCGCGAAUCAGAAUGUCGCGGUGAAUACGUUCCCGGGUCUUGUACACACCGCCCGUCACACCACGAGAGUUUACAACACCCGAAGUCAGUGGCCUAACCGUAAGGAGGGAGCUGCCUAAGGUGGGGUAGAUGAUUGGGGUGAAGUCGUAACAAGGUACC
rnacentral:rRNA from 1 species